UGGGGAAUUUUGGACAAUGGGCGAAAGCCUGAUCCAGCGAUGCCGCGUGUGUGAAGAAGGCCUUCGGGUUGUAAAGCACUUUUGUCCGGAAAGAAAUCCUUGGCUCUAAUACAGUCGGGGGAUGACGGUACCGGAAGAAUAAGCACCGGCUAACUACGUGCCAGCAGCCGCGGUAAUACGUAGGGUGCAAGCGUUAAUCGGAAUUACUGGGCGUAAAGCGUGCGCAGGCGGUUUGCUAAGACCGAUGUGAAAUCCCCGGGCUCAACCUGGGAACUGCAUUGGUGACUGGCAGGCUAGAGUAUGGCAGAGGGGGGUAGAAUUCCACGUGUAGCAGUGAAAUGCGUAGAGAUGUGGAGGAAUACCGAUGGCGAAGGCAGCCCCCUGGGCCAAUACUGACGCUCAUGCACGAAAGCGUGGGGAGCAAACAGGAUUAGAUACCCUGGUAGUCCACGCCCUAAACGAUGUCAACUAGUUGUUGGGGAUUCAUUUCCUUAGUAACGUAGCUAACGCGUGAAGUUGACCGCCUGGGGAGUACGGUCGCAAGAUUAAAACUCAAAUGAAUUGACGGGGUCAUAGCUGUUUCCU
rnacentral:rRNA from 1 species